CCAUGGGAGAGAUGUAAAUAUGGAGUCUGGUGUAUCACGUAGAAGCCGAACUAAAAUCAACGAGUUUAGAUUGUAACAUCGAUCAAAGCCAUUUAAAUCAUGGCUGAAUCAGUGAAAGUCGCCGUCCGCGUUCGACCUUUUAAUACAAGGGAGAAGGACAGAAAUGCGAAAUGUUGUAUCGACAUGCCAAGUAAAACGAUGACUCGUAUCAAAGAUCCGGACAAUCCCGAUCAACCGCCGAAAGAGUUUACGUUCGAUUUUUCCUACUGGUCACAUGAUGGUUACGAAGUAAAUAGUGAAGGUCUUUGCGUUCCCACUGAUGCUAAAUAUGCAGACCAAAGAACUGUAUUUGAUGAUCUGGGUCAGGGCGUGCUGAACAAUGCUUUUAAAGUGUUCAAUUGUUCGUUGCUUGCUUAUGGACAGACGGGAGCUGGAAAAUCUUAUUCCAUGGUUGGCUAUGGCCCCAACAAUAUCUUUCCAAAAGUUAAAAAUAAAAAAGACAAGGCAACAGGACUGCUAGUGAUUCCGAACUGGCCGACUCAGUAUUGGUGGCCCAAAGUGAUGAGAAUGUUACUCCAGGAGCUAAAUCAGCUGCCAGUGGUAAAGCGUUUUUUUCCUCAACCCAGCCAACCAAACUUGGUUCAUCCAUUAUAUCCAAAGCUGGUUCUACUGCUAUGUCAAAUCUCGGGUGGAAUUCUCCAUAACCGUGGAGUUUUAGGCCGUGCUGCCAAAUUGAUACUGCAGUCUUGGAGAGAAAGUACACAAAAGCAAUACGACCCGUAUAUCAAACGAUGGCACCUAUACUCUGUUGAAAAGCAAGUUCAUACAAUUUCGGCAACCGUAGAAAAUGGAGUGAAUUUUUUGUCAGAAUUGUUCUAAACGGUUAUUGGUUAUAGAACCCUUAAUACGGGUUCUUCUAAAUCCAAAUUUGGAAUCAUUUUUUGAAGAAAGUCGCGGUUGAAAGUUGCAAGGAAAUUGAGAAUCGAAGGAAAAAAUAACGUCAAAAAGAGCGGAAACAGCAAACCAGAUAAAAUGAUGAAUACCGCCAUAUGAAACCGCUAACUUGCGGGUUCAUACUGAGAUCAAGGGAAAUCCGCUGUAGGGAAACCUCUGAAACCGGCGUAAUAACGGAACAAACAUAGGGAAACUUUUAUCACUAGUGAUUUGUGAACGUUGGUAGGUCGGGUAGGGAUACUUAAAGCACGGAAGCCAUAUUUACUAAUGACGCUAAAAACCCUAAUGAUUUAAGUACUGGGAUACGCAUAGGAAUACUCGUAUCACUUUGACACAGUGAUUGAGACAUUUAACUAAAAUAAAUCUGGAACGAUAACUUCUAUAGUUUUGUCCCAUGACUGGCUAAAGCCAAAAAUACAUCUAAAUUAUUGUCAAGCUCCCCCCUGUAGUAAUGUGUGUUUUUGCUUUGCUUCUUGGCAGUGGAAAAACGUUGAAAAAAGUUGAAAAAUAUUGAUUUAUUGUCGUUUUUUACACAUUUGUGCUUUGAAAUUGCAGCUAGCAUGCCACAGCAAGAUAUUUUCGAGGAGAGACAUAUUCAGCAACAAUUAAGGACGAUCGAUCGACAAACUAAUACAACUCUACAAGAAGGAACUGAAUGUGAAAUCAUGAGACACACCUUUUCCUUGUUGCUGCGUUAUGCGUGGCAAAACAGUAUUCUUGACAUGACUCGACCCAUUCCCCCACGCGACCUAUAUACUGGUGAAACCUCGAUUUGUGUCUGUCUGUUAACAAUUCCGGGGGGGAUUCUUACGUAAUGAAGGGGAGCGCACAAUCAGAAUAAAGUAGAACCUUUCGGAA